rnacentral:tRNA from 1 species
GAGCCUGUAGCUCAGUGGCAGAGCGUUACGUUGACAUCGUAAAGGUCGGUGGUUCGAUCCCACUCAGGCUCA